CCUACGGGCGGCAGCAGUGGGGAAUAUUGGACAAUGAGCGAAAGCCUGAUCCAGCCAUGCCGCGUGUGUGAAGAAGGCCUUCGGGUUGUAAAGCACUUUCAGUGGGGAAGAAAGCCUUGGGGCUAAUACCCUCGAGGAAGGACAUCACCCACAGAAGAAACACCGGCUAACUCCGUGCCAGCAGCCGCGGUAAUACGGAGGGUGCGAGCGUUAAUCGGAAUUACUGGGCGUAAAGCGCGCGUAGGCGGUCUGAUAAGCCGGUUGUGAAAGCCCCGGGCUCAACCUGGGAACGGCAUCCGGAACUGUCAGGCUAGAGUGCAGGAGAGGAAGGUAGAAUUCCCGGUGUAGCGGUGAAAUGCGUAGAGAUCGGGAGGAAUACCAGUGGCGAAGGCGGCCUUCUGGACUGACACUGACGCUGAGGUGCGAAAGCGUGGGUAGCAAACAGGAUUAGAUACCCCGGUAGUC
rnacentral:rRNA from 1 species